rnacentral:rRNA from 1 species
GAUGAACGCUGGCGGCGUGCUUAAUACAUGCAAGUCGAACGGAGGGUUAGCAAUAACUCUUAGUGGCGAACGGGUGAGUAACGCGUUGGUGACCUGCCCCGAAGACAGGGAUAACAGUUCGAAAGGACUGCUAAUACCCGAUGAAGUUGUGGUGGUUAGAGUGCUACAACAAAAGGAGCAAUCCGCUUUGGGAGGGGCCUGCGUCCCAUCAGCUAGUUGGUAAGGUAAAAGCUUACCAAGGCGAAGACGGGUAGGGGACCUGAGAGGGUGAUCCCCCACACUGGCACUGAAACACGGGCCAGACACCUACGGGUGGCAGCAGUAGGGAAUAUUGCACAAUGGGCGAAAGCCUGAUGCAGCAACGCCGCGUGCGCGAAGAAGGCCUUCGGUUGUAAGACGCUUUUCUUGGAGAUGAGGAAGGACAGUAUCCCAGGAAUAAGGCUCGGCUAACUACGUGCCAGCAGCCGCGGUAAACGUAAGGCGUG